AACGAACGCUGGCGGCAGGCCUAACACAUGCAAGUCGAACGCCCUAGCAAUAGGGAGUGGCGCACGGGUGCGUAACGCGUGGGAAUAUGCCCUUGACUGCGGGACAACGUUUGGAAACGAACGCUAAUACCGCAUAAUGACUCCGGUCCAAAGAUUUAUCGGUCAAGGAUUAGCCCGCGUCUGAUUAGCUAGUUGGUGAGGUAACGGCUCACCAGGGCGACGAUCAGUAGCUGGUCUGAGAGGAUGAUCAGCCACACUGGGACUGAGACACGGCCCAGACGCCUACGGGAGGCAGCAGUGAGGAAUAUUGGACAAUGGGCGCAAGCCUGAUCCAGCCAUGCCGCGUGAGUGACGAAGGCCUUCGGGUUGUAAAGCUCUUUCAGAUGCGAAGAUAAUGACGGUAACAUCAGAAGAAGCCCCGGCUAAAUUCGUGCCAGCCGCCGCAGUAA
rnacentral:rRNA from 1 species